rnacentral:tRNA from 1 species
GCCUUCGUAGCUCAACAUCAAGAGCAACCGCCUUUUAAGCGGUAGGCUGCAGGCGAAAAUCCUGCCGGGGGCA